rnacentral:lncRNA from 1 species
GUUGUUUCUAAUGGUUGCAGUUGCAAACAAACUUGUGACCUGCACAAAUGUCCCUUAUCUGUAGGAUAAGGUCGCAGAGUGGGAUUCUGUGGUGAGAGCGUAAUGUCGGUGUAACUUAGAUAGAGGUGGCUCACUCGCACUCACCACUGGAGCAGUGCCACUAGGCAAGCCUUCUAGAAGGUGCCUGGCCAGAAGAAUGUUUCUAAGUCCUGGCUUUUUGCCCAUCUGACAGUGUCCCUCUGGCUGCCAAGUGAAUGAGUCAGGGAGUGAAUGAGUUUCCUGUGUGCCCACUGUGUGCCAGGCGCUGAGGACGGCCCUGGAGAGAGAAAGUGUACAGGCCCUCAUGUGCCAAGGAGGUCUGUCUGGCCAACUCCCUUCCAUGGAUUUGCAGGCGCGGGAAGCAUGUGGAAGGCCGUGUUCGUGUUGCAGAGAAGGUUGGCUGCUGAGCCAGGGCGUGUCUGCAGGAGGCCUGCCAGGCUGCCCGGAUCCCCACCUCACCACCAUGGGCCACCCAGGCUGGUCAGUUCCAGUCCUUGAUUUCGCCACGGUUCCCUGCCCUUGGCACUGGGGGAAGGCCGGACCCAAUUGCUCAAGUCCCAGGUUUCUGGCAUCA